rnacentral:misc_RNA from 1 species
UGAAGGAUCAUUAUCCUUUAGCUUGUGCGAGUGUUCUUAUGACACCUCGUACUUGAGCUCACAACGCUCUUAUUGCGCGGCAGCCGUCUUCACCGGCGACUGCCAAACAACCACAAAUCCACGGUAGGCUCGUAGGCUACUGUGGUCAGGUACCUAGCAGCUGAAGCGUCUCCCUCGGGAGCCGUGUUGGCGUAAAGAUUACACCACUGUCUACAGUGGCGUAACGCCUGUUUAGCUCACAAGUUUUCUCACCUUUAAAUUGCAUUCUAUGAGUUGGUGUGAUUGUGUAAAUUCUAUGCUCAAAACAUGGAUGAUUUAACACAAAAACAACCCUAUGCGGUGGAUCACUUGGCUCGCGAGUCGAUGAAGAGCGCAGCAAACUGCGUGAAUUAAUGUGAUUUGCAGGACACAUUGAUCAUCGAUAUCUUGAACGCAUAUUGCGGUUACGGAUCGCUUCCGUGACUACGCCUGUCUGAGGGUCGGUAUAAAUGUGUAAAAACGUCAAGCGUGUAAAAGCGACUUGCUCGGUUGUUAGAGGCCUUUACCGGCUUCCAUCAACUUAGAUACAUUUAUACUAAGCCUUAUGCUUAGUUGUAGUGCACAAUGUUUAUUCAUUGUUGCUGUGAUAAAGCAAGUAAAAAUUGCAUAGAUCUCUCUAAUUUAUUUGCUGUCGCGGCCUCUUAGAAUGAACUAAACAGCUACUGUGUAAAUACAAUCUAACUAUUUUUCAUUUUCGACCUCAGAUCAGACGAGAUUACCCGCUGAAUUUAAGCAUAUUAUUAAGCGGAGGAAAAGAAACUAACCAGGAUUCCUUUAGUAACGGCGAGUGAACAAGGAAGAGCCCAUCACCGAAUCCUUCCCGGUAAACGGGAAAGGAAUUGUGGUGUAAAGGACAGGUUUCGUUGCAUUGUCAUUGGCCCAAGUUCUCUUGAAUGGGGCUUCCCAGAGCGGGUGUCAGGCCUCUAGCGACCAAUUGACUUUGUAACUUUUCUUGUCCCGAGAGUCGGGUUGCUUGAGAUCGCAGCCCUAAGACGGGUGGUAUACUCCAUCCAAGGCUAAAUACCGUCGCGAGACCGAUAGCGAACAAGUACCGUGAGGGAAAGUUGAAAAGAACUUUGAAGAGAGAGUUAAAUAGUACGUGAAACCGUAUAGGGGUAAACGGGUGGAAGCGCUAAAUCAGUGCGGAGAAUUCAGAUCGUCGUUAGCUCGUUACGUGGUGCUCGGCAUGGUCUAACGCCAGUCGGGUUUGCAAACACGUUCAACGACGGUUGCACUUUUUCCGCAUUGAGCGCCUCGACAGAUUGCUGCGCACAUUUAAAGGCAGGUGCUCGGUACCGCGACUCUGUUGCGGACUUAUAAGCACUUGUUGAUGUGUGCGCGGCGAUCUUGGACUGAAUGCGAAGGAGUAUCAGCGCAAGCGAGAUGUGUGCUCAUGCAGUGGCUGUCGAAUUGUGGGAAACUCCCUAGUGAGUUCUUGCUAACCGGGUUGCUGUAUUGGGUGUACGUUCUCAUGGUACUCGAGUCCGAGGCGAAUGGUCGUACAUCUACCCGACCCGUCUUGAAACACGGACCAAGGAGUCUAGCAUGUGCGCAAGUCAUUGGGUUCUACGAAACCUAAAGGCGAAUUGAAAGAGAAGGCUAAUUCUGUUAGCUGAGGUGUGAUCUUGGCGGCAACGUCGGGCGCAACACCGUCCGGUCACGAUUUCUUAGAAAUGUGGCUGCGAAAGAGCGUGCACGCUGGGACCCGAAAGAUGGUGAACUAUGCCUGAGCAGGAUGAAGCCAGAGGAAACUCUGGUGGAGGUCCGCAGCGAUUCUGACGUGCAAAUCGAUCGUCAAACUUGGGUAUAGGGGCGAAAGACUAAUCGAACCAUCUAGUAGCUGGUUCCCUC